rnacentral:rRNA from 1 species
GAUGAACGCUGGCGGCGUGCCUAAUACAUGCAAGUCGAGCGAACAGACGAGGAGCUUGCUCCUCUGACGUUAGCGGCGGACGGGUGAGUAACACGUGGAUAACCUACCUAUAAGACUGGGAUAACUUCGGGAAACCGGAGCUAAUACCGGAUAAUAUAUUGAACCGCAUGGUUCAAUAGUGAAAGACGGUUUUGCUGGCACUUAUAGAUGGAUCCGCGCCGCAUUAGCUAGUUGGUAAGGUAACGGCUUACCAAGGCAACGAUGCGUAGCCGACCUGAGAGGGUGAUCGGCCACACGGGAUCUGAGACACGGUCCAGACUCCUACGGGAGGACGCAGUAGGGAAUCUUCCGCAAUGGGCGAAAGCUGGACGGAGCAACGUCGCGUGAGUGAUGAAGGUCUUCGGAUCGUAAAACUAUGUUAUUAGGGAAGAACAAAUGUGUAAGUAACUAUGCACGUCUUGACGGUACCUAAUCAGAAAGCCACGGCUAACUACGUG